rnacentral:lncRNA from 1 species
UUUUCACUAGCUGUUGUGUUUUUUUUGUCUGUUUUCCCCAUGACCAUUGAUUCAGUGUUUUCUCCAGUUUAAGGAAGCAGAGGAUCAGGACCAGUAACCUGGAGUCAUCUGAAUUAUAUGCCUCAAAUGGAAUCACUUGGAAAAUGGAUAAAGCAGAAUCAUCUUAGUGCAUACAAUAUCAGCAUAUAUAUAAGCACUUAGGAAGUUGGGAGUGUAUUACAGGAUCACUUGAACACAAUACACACAAUAUCAAGAUUAAAGGUAAGUCUUAAAAACUUAUUCUUUUUUUUUUUUUUUUUUUCUCUGCUACAUCUUCCAUUACGUUGAUGCAGGCUUCAUUGCAAUUUUCUUUUUAAUCUUAAAUUAAUUCAGAUAGUCA